AUUUUACGUCACGGAGGCAGAAGAUGAAUCUGCAGGAUGGAUUUUAACUUGUACUUAUAAGGAAUGCAGUGACUAGUUGACACAUCACAGAUGGCAUCAAAUAACACAGUGUCAGAGAUUAUGAAGAACAAAUGGAUGUAGUAGUGCAGAGGUUUGUAAGAUUUCUUGGAUGCAGUCUGAAGACGAUGAAGUGAUGAAAGAUCCAGGAUCCAGAUAUUCGUCCUGAGCUCAAAGAUAUCUGCACUACAUUUGCUAUACAAGUUAUGACAGAAGUUUAGACUUGACUUGUGAAAUGAUAAACAGCACAUCGAAAAAGAAGUUGGACAAAAAGUGGGAUUAAUGCAGGAACUAUUAAAGCUGCAGUGAGUGAGAACCAUUCACAGGAGAAUAACAAACUUGUCUAUAUGAUAUUUGCAACAAUAAAAAUGAUAUGUAUUUUUAUCUCUGUUUUUUUUCAUCAGAUAGCUGGAGCUGCAAAAUUACUGCAAUUUUUAAAAGACUCGGUGUUGAAAAAACAGGAUAAUCAGUUGAAGAGGGUAAUUCAGAAAGAGAAUUUGUACCAACAAUGAAUUAAAAAAUAAAAA